GGCGGCGUGCCUAACACAUGCAAGUCGAACGAGAAAUUGGGCACUCAGGCAACUGAGUGCCGGAGAGUACAGUGGCGCACGGGUGAGUAACGCGUGGGUAACCUACCCUUGAAUUUGGGAUAACCCCGCGAAAGCGGGACUAAUACCGGAUAUGGUUCCAUCAGCUUCGGCUCUUGGAAUUAAAGGUGACCUCUUCAUGAAAGUUGCCGUUCAGGGACGGGCUCGCGUACCAUUAGCUUGUUGGUAGGGUAAUGGCCUACCAAGGCUACGAUGGUUAGCUGGUCUGAGAGGAUGAUCAGUCACACUGGAACUGGAACACGGUCCAGACUCCUACGGGAGGCAGCAGUGAGGAAUUUUGCGCAAUGGGGGAAACCCUGACGCAGCAACGCCGCGUGAGCGAAGAAGGCCUUCGGGUCGUAAAGCUCUGUCAAGUGGGAAAAAAGCCUUUCGGUCAAUAUCCGGAAGGUCUGAUGGUACCACUGGAGGAAGCACCGGCUAACUCCGUGCCAGCAGCCGCGGUAAUACGGAGGGUACAAGCGUUGUUCGGAAUUACUGGGCGUAAAGCGCGUGCAGGCGGUUUGGUAAGUCAGAUGUGAAAGCCCUGGGCUCAACCCGGGAAGUGCAUUUGAAACUGCCUUUCUUGAGUAUGGGAGAGGAGAGUGGAAUUCCCAGUGUAGAGGUGAAAUUCGUAGAUAUUGGGAGGAACACCCGUGGCGAAGGCGACUCUCUGGACCAAUACUGACGCUGAGACGCGAAAGCGUGGGGAGCAAACAGGAUUAGAUACCCUGGUAGUCCACGCCGUAAACGAUGAGAACUAGGUGUAGCGGGUAUUGACCCCUGCUGUGCCGAAGUUAACGCAUUAAGUUCUCCGCCUGGGGAGUACGGCCGCAAGGCUAAAACUCAAAGGAGUUGACGGGGGCCCGCACAAGCGGUGGAGCAUGUGGUUUAAUUCGACGCAACGCGAAGAACCUUACCUGGGUUUGACAUCCUCUGACUGCCUCGGAAACGGGGUUUUUCCGACUCUGUCGGAACAGAGUGACAGGUGCUGCAUGGCUGUCGUCAGCUCGUGUCGUGAGAUGUUGGGUUAAGUCCCGCAACGAGCGAACCCUUGUCUUUAGUUGCCAUUAUUAAGUUAGGCACUCUAAAGAGACUGCCUCGGUUAACGGGGAGGAAGGUGGGGAUGACGUCAAGUCCUCAUGGCCUUUAUACUCAGGGCUACACACGUGCUACAAUGGGCUGUACAAAGGGUUGCCACUCCGCGAGGAGGCGCUAAUCCCAAAAAGCAGUCCUCAGUUCGGAUUGGAGUCUGCAACUCGACUCCAUGAAGGUGGAAUCGCUAGUAUCGUGGAUCAGCACGCCACGGUGAAUACGUUCCCGGGCCUUGU
rnacentral:rRNA from 1 species